AACAAGGGGUUUUUGGCCUACA
rnacentral:snRNA from 1 species